ensembl:lncRNA
CACCGGGUCCCCGCGAGGGGCGCUGGAGAGUGCGGGGAAAUCUCAGGGCCGGGAAGCUGGCACGGAGAAGGCCCGCGGAUACGCGCGCCCCUACCGGACGCGGCGCUGCCCGCCCGCUAGGCGUGCAUUUGCGGGCUCCCCGCGCAGCCUCUGCUGAUGCCGUCCCCUGUCUGCCCUGAUGGUGCGGGUUAAAUCUGCUCAAGCUGAAGCCCCGAGGAGGACAUGCAGGCCCUGGACGUCCACGCAGGCCUAAAGGGAGCCCUGUACUGCUGGCCGCGGGAGGAGUGGAUUCGCUUACAACCGCGUUGUUUCCUUGUCGGUGGCCACACUGUUCUGAUUCACUUCCCUCGCAACCUUACUGUCAGCCGGGCGCUGUGCUGGGUUCUGGGAAUACGGAAAUUAAAGGAUAAUUUCUCUUUCCGCAGACAGCUCGUUUUAGUGGGAGAGGACAGGCAAAUGAACAGCAACUUCCCACUAGCUAUCCCAGGUGGCGCAGUGGUAAAGAAUCCGCCUGCCAAUGCAGGAGACGCAAGAGACACGAGUCCGAUCCCUGGAUUGGGAAGAUCCCCUGGUGGAGGGAAUAGCCACCCACUCCAGUAUUCUUGCUUGGAGAAUCCCAGAGACAGAGGAGCCUGGCGGGCUAUAGUCCAUGGGGCUGAAAAGAGUCGGACACAUCUGAGCACCCAGCACCAUCCUUAAAUUUGAGGGCUUUUUAAGUGGUGCAGACAGCAAGAGAUGUGAUUCGAUCCCCAGGUCAGGAAUAUUUCUUAGAGAAGGAAAUGGCAAACCCACUCCAGUAUUCUUGCCUGGAGAAUUCCAUGGACAAAGGAGCCUGGCAGGGUACAGUCCAGGGGGUUGCGAAGAAUCAGAUGAGACUGAGCACACAUCCUUCUGUUUGAAGUAGAUAAUUUAGAGGCAGGGGGUGCUAUUCUGAAUAGGGUUGUUUGGUUUAUAUGUUGAUAGUAUUUGGGAGGUCUUUUAGACAAGCUGUUUAGGGAAUAUGUGUUAUCAGCUAGGCUUUGGGUGCCUUGGCAACAUUUACUACAAAUUUUCGGUUCAGAAGAUGGCAGCACCUCUGUUUGCUUCGGGAUAUCUGACAACCAUUUGCAGAACUACUGCUGGACUUCCAUCUCUGUCUCUCCAGGCAUACAAAUCAAACCCUCC